ensembl:lncRNA
ACCCUGUAACCACGCAGGAUGAACCCUGUAACCACGCAGGAUGAACCCUGUAACCACGCAGGAUUAGUGGGUAGAAAAUAUCGACGUUUUAUUAAAUUACGUCAAAUCCCGAAGUGAAACUUGAGAUCACGUUGCUGCAAGUUAGUCAACGACGGUGACGGACCAUGGGGACUAAUUAGUGUUUCGUUGUGGAUAGCUUCAGAAGGAGUUUGUGGAAGCUAUGCUAUCUAAAUCUGAGUCAUAGAACUAAAAUAAACAAAAAUCAAUCGUAUUCUAUGAUCUGAGCGAUGUAGAGGAAGUGUGUGAUACACAGCCAAGAAACAAGCCAAUCGUUGUCCAUUUUGAGCACAUCCACAGAACCAUUGGACAAUAAUUGGUAGUGUUUGGCAACUGGAUCCAUGGUGGCUGGAUGAGAUCUCUCUGAUGGUGGAGAGGGAGUUCCAGACUUUGACGUCACAGACAGAGAAAGAACGACGUGGCCUCUCCGACUCCUCUCAGCGCCCUGACGAUGUCCGGUGUGUGAUGACUGUUCCCAUGGCGAUGACCCCAUAUGGGAGACACAGGUGGAGAAGAAGGAGGAAGAAAAGGUUAUCCCAGAGGAGGAGCAAAGGAGGGACAUUGAGAAGUUCCUUAGGGGCCUCCUGAUCCCAGGGCAGGAGGAUAGAGGGGAGGACAGUUCCAUCAUGGUGGAACCUCUAGACAUACCUAACCCCUUCCUGCUGAACCCCGACCUCGGUGCUAACCUCUCCCCUUUAGUUCCCGACCUGCUCCCCGAUCUCUCACCCUUGCUCCACGACCUGACCCCCAACCUGGCCCCCAGCGAAGACGACUUCCCCCCUCUGCCGAGUGCCGCGUCUCCAUGGCAAGGUGACAGGCUGUGGCAGGGCUCCCCGCCUGCCAACCUCCCCACACCUCUCAUCCCCAUCCCUGGCCCCUUCAACCUUCUGGGCAAAGUGGCUGCCUGUAUCAAGGCCUCAGCACCAGCUCAAGCCCCAACUCCUGCCCCAGUCCCAGCUCCAGCCAAGGUCCCAGCAAUCCAGGUCACAGCCUCAGCCCGUUCUUCAACUCCAGCCCCAGCAAAGGUCCCAGCAAUGAGGAUUACUGUCCCAGCCGCAACCCCUGCUCCAGCCAAGGUCCCAGCCACCAGGAUUACGGACCCAACCCAGGCCCGAGCUCCAUCAACAACCCAGCAGGAGCUUUAUGACCUGAUGGCUGACUUCCCAGCCCUCCAGCCCCAGGGGAAAGCACCUCCACUGGGCUUGCAGCAGCCUGCCAAUACCCCGUGCCGGGCUCCGACCAUCAAUGUGGAGCUACUUCUCCAGGACCUACCCUACAGCGCCUUGUUCAAGGCCCAGGAAGGUGACCGGGAGCUGGGCAGACAGGAUGGUAAAAGAGUGGCCAAGGGACCCAAGAAGAUGGAGUCUGAACCUGAGGAGGAACCUCAGGACAUUACCGUUGUUAGUGAUGAUGUUGACCAGUGGCCUGAGAUCACCACUACCAAGCAGCCUGCAUUCACCCAAGCCAUUCAACAGGUUAUAACCGGUACAGAUGGUGCCAGCGCGUGGGUUGGCAGUGCCAACGAGAGCGUGAGGAGAGCAGC